rnacentral:tRNA from 1 species
GCAGCCGUGGCCGAGUGGUUAAGGCGAUGGGCUAAAAAUCCAUUCGGGUCUCCCCGCACAGGUUCGAAUCCUGCCGACUGCG